GCGUAGGCGAAUGGAAAACAGAUUAAUAUUUCUGUGCCAGUCAUAUUUUGUGAUGGAGGGACGUAGAAGGGUAUGUACGCGGAAGAACGGUAGUUUCCGUAAAAGCAUGUAGAAUGACUUGAUAGGUAAAUCCGUCAAGUUAGAUUUGAGGUGUGAUAUAUAGUCGUAAGAUGAAUGUACAAAUCCCACGCUGCCGAGAAAAGCUUCUAACGUUAAGGUAUGACUGCCCGUACCCGAAACCGACACAGGUGGUCAGGAUGAGAAAUCUAAGGCGGACAGGCUAACUCUCGUUAAGGAACUCUGCAAAAUUGCCCCGUAACUUCGGGAGAAGGGGUGCCCCUGAGUGUGAGCAUACACGCGAUGUUAAGCGCUUGGGGGUCGCAGUGAAGAGGCUCAAGCAACUGUUUAACAAAAACACAGGUCUAUGCUAAGCUGUAAGGCGAUGUAUAUGGGCUGACACCUGCCCAGUGCCGGAAGGUUAAGAGGAGGAGUGAGAGCUCCGAAUUGAAGCCCCGGUGAACGGCGGCCGUAACUAUAACGGUCCUAAGGUAGCGAAAUUCCUUGUCGGGUAAGUUCCGACCUGCACGAAUGGUGUAAUGAUUUGAGCGCUGUCUUGACGGGAGGCCUGGUGAAAUUGUAUUACCGGUGAAGAUACCGGUUACCUACAGUAGGACGGAAAGACCCCAUGGAGCUUUACUGUAGCUUGGUAUUGGGUUUUGGCAUUGCAUGUAUAGGAUAGUUGGGAAACUAUGAUGGUAUGGCGCUAGCUAUAUCGGAGUUGUCGGUGGAAUACCAACCAUUCAAUGUUGAAAUUCUAAUCUGUGGUUUGGAGCCACGGAGACAGUGCUAGGUGGGCAGUUUGACUGGGGCGGUCGCCUCCGAAAGAGUAACGGAGGCGUUCAAAGGUUCUCUCAGGUUGGAUGGAAAUCAACCGCAGAGUGCAAUGGCAUAAGAGAGCUUGACUGCGAGACUGACGGGUCGAGCAGGUGCGAAAGCAGGACAUAGUGAUCCGGCGAUUCCGAAUGGAAGGAUCGUCGCUCAACGGAUAAAAGCUACCCUGGGGA
rnacentral:rRNA from 1 species